rnacentral:misc_RNA from 1 species
GAAAUGCGAUAAGUAGUGUGAAUUGCAGAAUUCAGUGAAUCAUCGAAUCUUUGAGCGCACAUUGCGCCCCUUGGUAUUCCAUGGGGCAUGCCUGUUCGAGCGUCAUUUGUACCCUCAAGCUCUGCUUGGUGUUGGGUGUUUGUCCCCGUCUCCGCGCGUGGACUCGCCCCAAAGUGAUUGGCAGCCGGCGUACUGGUCCCGGAGCGCAGCACAUGUCGCGCAAACGAGUGCCUUGGUACGGCGGCGUCCAUAAGCCCCUCUCUCACGCUCUUGACCUCGGAUCAGGUAGGGAUACCCGCUGAACUUAGGC